rnacentral:rRNA from 1 species
GAUGAACGCUGGCGGCGUGCCUAAUACAUGCAAGUCGAGCGAACAGACGAGGAGCUUGCUCCUCUGACGUUAUCAGCCGACGGGUCAUUAACACGUGGAUAACCUACCUAUAAGACUGGGAUAAUUUCGGGAAACCGGAGCUACUACCGGAUAAUAUAUUGAACCGCAUGGUUCAAUAGUUGAAGACGCUAUUUCUUUCGCUUAUAGCUGACUACGCCGCGCAUUAGUUAGUUGGUAAAGUAGCGGCUUAUCAAGGCUACGAUGGUUAGCCGACCUGAAGGGGAGAUUGGAUACACGGGAAGGGAGAAAGGUCCGCGACUCCGAGGGGAGGCCACAGUAGAGAAUCCUACGCGAUGGGCGAAUGCCUGACGUAGCAAAGCCGCGUGAGUGAUGAAGGAGUUCGGCUGGUAAAGCUCUGUUGGUAGGAGAGAAGAAAAGCGUAAGUACCCAGGAACGUAUUGACGGUACCGAAUGAAUAAGCUCCGGCUAACUCCGUG